UUUUGCAUGCUUUUAGACAUCCUGAGCGUACAGCCUUCCUAGAGUGCUUCCUGAGCUACUGAGGAAUGAUGACAAUAAAAGGCCGAAUUGCAGUGGCUCUGUCAACAGUUGGCUCUCUGUGGGCACACGAUGACAAAAUCUCCCGAAGCGAACCAGCAGUCUGACCUCAGUAACGUCAGGAUUGGAGCUUCGUGCUUUUAGGAAAGCUUUCCAAGGGACAUGGCCAACAAAGGCAUUCCCGAAAAGCCAGGUUAUUUUUUUAACCAGAGAGACAGAGUACACACUCUCACCCGCAGCCUCCCUCUCUAGAUUCCCACAGCAGCCAAGGUUGGACUAGAAACAGGAGCCAGAAACAGCAGUUCAGGUCUCCCAGAUGGCAGCAGGAACCCAAUUACUCAAGCCACCACCACUGCUUCCCAGGUCCGUGCGUUACAGGAAGCUGGAGUCAAGAGCCAGAGCUGGGAAUCAAAUCCGGGCAUAGCCAAACACCUGCCACGCUAAUAUUAAAAAACAAAAAAAGUCAGUGACCCUUGGAAAACACUGGGGCUUGAACAAGUAGUAAGCACCUCCCUGUGUUCUUUGAGGUGUGCUCACCUAAACAAAGGCUACUGGAUUGGAAAAAUAGACCUUCAAGAGUACCUGUGUGCCCAUGUGGAUGGAACAGCCAGUGUGACCAAUCCCUAGUAAGGGAAGUAAAUUUGGCAGCAGUCUCUUGACCACAUUAAAAUGCAUUGCUCAGUAAAGGCUGACAUUAAGUCAGUGUGUAUGUGCUACUGGCUGGAACUUACAUGUUAGUCAAAUGUAGAUUCCACCACCCAGCAUAAACCCUGCCUUGCAACUUACUACUAAAAGCACAGGAUGUUGGCUUAAAGCAAAACUAGUUUUGUGGUAUAAUAUAUUGUUUCUGUGUUGCAACAGCUAAUUAAUUAGAAAAGCCACCUACGCCUUUCCCAGCUAAUUUGGCUUUUUAAAAGUUCUAAAAAAGCACUUGUCAGCAUUUAGUUUGCAAAAAUACUAGUACUUAAGAUUACUCUUCUAAAAGUUAAGUUUCUGUAGUAUCAUGAUGAGCCAGACAGCUGGAGACUUGACCUUUCUAUAGCCAAGUAUAAAAUAGUGAACUGAAAAAAGUAUUUGCGCUGCAAAUAAAUGUUUACAGUAUCAGAGAAGUGAGUUGUGCUUCUGUCGUGGGCUGGUAAGAAACCUGGCCACACCAAGCUUCCUGUGGGCCAGCUGCACAGCUGUGAGGCCCAGGACUGUACCAGUGCUUUUGAGAAGCAUGUGAGGGAUUUCCUGCUAAGAACAGUAGUGACUGCAUGAAAAGACAUGGGUGGACUUUGGCAAAGUGGUAAAGAUGGCACUUGGGACACCUGCAUCCCUUAUCACAGUGCCUUGGUUUGAGUCCGGAUUCACUCUUUAUUCCACCUUCCUGUUAAUGGACAAACACCCUCGGAGGGUCAGGUACUUAGCUCCCUGUUAUCCAUAUGAGAGACCUGGAUUGAAUCCCAAGCUUUGGCUUCAAAAUGGCCCCGCCUUAGCUGUCCCAAGCAAGUAUUCCAUGAGUGAACCAGGGGAUCAGAGAUCUCCCUGUGCCACCUCCCUCCCACCCCCUUUCAAAUACAGGAUAUACAAUCAGCAAAACGCCUUACUAGGUGUAGGAGACUGGAAUUUUAAUAAAUAGUAAAAUGUUCUUCCUAUACAAUAAUUUUCCAGAACCUUUACAAUGCUAAGAGGAUAUCAAAAUAGACUUUAAAGUAGAUACAUACAUGAUCCAUUUCUUAGGAAUGCUAAUCAUUAAAAAUGCACAGAACAUGGGCCGGUGCUGUAUCGUAGAAGGUAAAGCCGCCAGUUGCAGUGCUAGCAUCCCAUACAAUGAUGGUUCAAGUCCCUGCUGCUCCACUUCCAGUCCAGCUCUCUGCUAUGGCCUGGGAAAGCAGUAGAGGAUGGCCCAAGACCUUGGGCACCUGCCCCCACAUAGGAGACCUGGAAGAAGCUCCUGGCUUCGGAUCGGUGCAGUUCUGGCUGAUGCUGCCAUCUGAGGAGUGAACCAGCAGAUGGAAGGACCCCUGUGCCCUGCCUCUCUCUAACUGCCUAUCAGAUAAAAUAAAUCUUCAAAACAAUGCACAAAACAGUCAUUUGAAGAUACUAAAGCUAGAAGUUGGAACUAGAAAAGCCUGAGAAUUCAAGGUGCUAAAAAAGCUAAAUUGAACUCAUUUAAUUGUAAUUAAAAAUGGAUUGCAGGCCGGUGCCGAGGCUCAAUAGACUAAUCCUCCGCCUGUGGCGCCGGCACACUGGGUUCUAGUCCCGGUCAGGGCGCUGGAUUCUGUCCCGGUUGCCCCUCUUCCAGGCCAGCUCUCUGCUGUGGCCCACGACUGCAGUGGAGGAUGGCCCAAGUGCUUGGGCCCUGCACCCACAUGGGAGACCAGGAAGAAGCACCUGGCUCCUGCCUUUGGAUCAGCGUGGUGCGCCGGCCACAGUGGCCAUUGGAGGGUGAAGCAACGGAAAAGGAAGACCUUUCUGUCUGUCUCUCUCACUGUCCACUCUGCCUGUCAAAAAAAAAGAAAAAAAAUGGAUUGCAGUUAAGAGUCCCAGGAUUACAGUUUGUUUUACUGUAGGGAGACAGUCUCCUAAACAUGUUUAAUCAAGAGCCAUUUGGUAGUGUUGUAAUAAACACUGUACAACUACUA